UGUAAUAUUGUGGGAGAG
rnacentral:snRNA from 1 species